CAGUAGCCGCGGUAAUACGUAGGUGGCAAGCGUUGUCCGGAAUUAUUGGGCGUAAAGGGCUCGCAGGCGGUUUCUUAAGUCUAAUGUGAAAGCCCCCGGCUCAACCGGGGAGGGUCAUUGGAAACUGGGAAACUUGAGUGCAGAAGAGGAGAGUGGAAAUCCACGUGUAGCGGUGAAAUGCGUAGAGAUGUGGAGGAACACCAGUGGCGAAGGCGACUCUCUGGUCUGUAACUGACGCUGAGGAGCGAAAGCGUGGGGAGCGAACAGGAUUAGAUACCCCAGUAGUCCCUGUCUCUUAUAC
rnacentral:rRNA from 1 species